AGAGGACCCAGAGAUUAAGGCUUGAUUUCAACUCUAUGACAAAACAUGUUGCAAGGUGUGGUUCUCAGUAUGAUCCUGAUUGGAAAUAACAAUAGCUGCAAGAGACAGCUGGGAAACGUGAAUAUGAACUAGCUUUAUUGAGAUACAAUCUGAUGGAAUCCGGACCUGAGUACGGUCUUUCAAAUAAGCCCGCCCACCAUCUCAGAGGGACCUAGGUGUCAUCUUCCCUAGGCUACAAGCAUUCUCCAGAGGACAGAAGGAAGCUGUCUGUGGCACACAAAAUUGGGGGUUUGUCAGCCGCUUAAAUGGGACUAGGCUGGCUGUCGAUCUCGAAGUCUCAAGCGACAGGUUCCCCUGCGUCUCCCUCAGUGGAUCCCCUGUCUCCCUUGGAAGCCAAGAAUGUCACCUGAGUGGGGGCCGGGAUUCCCUUUCAGAGACCUCUCCUUGGAUGCAAGGGAUUGAAGAAAGCCGUGGGCAACUGCGAGAGUCUAGGCUGAGGCUACACUUCAGCGGCUUCUCAGACCCCGACAGCCCAACUGGGUAUCCGUGAGGAGUGUCUCUCUCUCUGUCUCUGACUUCUAGCCUGCUUCUUCAGGCAGCUUUGGCCUCAGUGUGGCAGGGGGUGUUCCUAACUCCCACCUAACUUCAUCAAUUUCAAGGAACCUGAUGCUCACCACCGCAAGAUACUUGAUCUGAAUACAACAGAGAAUUUAGAACCUAACUUUGAUGUUUUGCUUUGCAUAUAAGAAAGAUGUUCAAAGGUUUAA